CCCCCCCCCCAAAACAAAAAAAGAAGAAAGAUUUAUUAUGAAAAUCAGUGGCAGAAAAUUAAGGAUUUGGUUUAGCCACACAAACACUAAUUGAAAUGAGAAAAAAUGGUUGUUUUCAUCCACAAAUUAACUUAUUAAGAAAGCUCAUCAUUUUUUUUUUCUUCGAUUGGGGUUGAAUCUUCUCUUUUGAUCUACUUUGACUAAUUGGAAAUUCAAUCGCCCAUCCCGCCAUUCUCACUAUCUAGAAAGGUGGCAAUCCUGUGACCGGAGAACCGCAUCGACAUCUCAUUUUAUCAAGUAUCUCAUUUCUUUUCAAUUGUUGGAAUGCCAGUUGCUAGCAUAAAUUGAGAUUCGUAGUUGUUCAUCAGGUGGGCCACACGAAGGAUGCAGUCCAACUAAAAAAUUAGGCUAGUUUACAUUUCAAGUAGGUUACACCGGCAUGAAAAAUGGACAACUAAAAAUGAAUAAGAAUCUGACAUGUUUUAUUAUACACAUUGUAUAUAGGUUUUUCUACAGGCAUUUGUUUUUAAAGUAAUAUAUUUAUCAUAUAUCAGUUUGUUAUUCAUUUAAAUCGACAAAAUUUUAUCUUUAGCAAUUUUGUUAUUAUAUGCUUUCUUAUUACAAUACAACUUGCUGCAACUCCCAUGGCAAUUUCACUAGUGAAAUCUGCAAAGAACGGAAAGAGGCAUCUAGAGGAGUCCUAUUGAGAAACAAUUUGCUGCCAAAAAGCUGAAGAGAGAAGUAAAGGAAACAGUUGAGAAGUAGAAGAGUGGCAAGAAGUCAAAAGCUUCUUUUGAGGUGGCACCAGAGAAGAAGCCUGAAACUAGCAGUUCUGAGGAUGUAUCUUCGUCUGAGUCGGAAAAAGAGGUUUGCUCGAUUGAAGCAGAUUGUGUUUUCCUUUAUGCCAAAGUAGAUGAUCUAUGGUUGGGGGCUUUUUGAUGAGGGAAAGAAAAUGUUCAGUAGUA